rnacentral:lncRNA from 1 species
CAUAUGUUUGUUUGCUGGUGUUCAAUGGAACCUGAGGGAGGGCAUAAUGGAUCUCCGUUACUAAACCAUGUGGAAGGCUUCCAGAGAUUUAAUAGUCUACCUCGAGGGCAUGUCUUCCAUCCACUCUGGUAUAUAUCCAACCCAAAGGACUUCCUUCUUGGAUUCUGGUGUUUGUUCUCUGUCCCCACUGUGCCCAUGGAAGUGUCUCACUUUGGUCUCCAUCAUCAUGUCUGCUGUGCAUUCUCUGGACUUAGAGAAGGGAGAAAGAGCGGCAGAGUAUCAGAGGUAAAGAGAAUGCAAGGGAAUCAAAACACCUGGACUUAGGCUUCA